rnacentral:rRNA from 1 species
GAUUUAUYGGGUUUAAAGGGUGCGUAGGCGGUUUUUAAGUCAGUGGUGAAAGUUUGCAGCUCAACUGUAAAAUUGCCAUUGAAACUGAAGACCUUGAGUGUAAAUGAGGUAGGCGGAAUGUGUUGUGUAGCGGUGAAAUGCUUAGAUAUAACACAGAACACCAAGUGCGAAGGCAGCUUACUAGAAUACAACUGACGCUGAGGCACGAAAGCGUGGGGAUCAAACAGGAUUAGAUACCCUGGUAGUCCACGCAGUAAACGAUGAAUACUAGCUGUAUGCGAUAUACUGUAUGUGGCAAAGCGAAAGCGUUAAGUAUUCCACCUGGGGAGUACGUUCGCAAGAAUGAAACUCAAAGGAAUUGACGGGGGCCCGCACAAGCGGAGGAACAUGUGGUUUAAUUCGAUGAUACGCGAGGAACCUUACCCGGGCUUGAAAUGCAGACGACCGACCGGGAAACCGGUCUUCCAGCAAUGGCGUCUGUGUAGGUGCUGCAUGGUUGUCGUCAGCUCGUGCCGUGAGGUGUCGGCUUAAGUGCCAUAACGAGCGCAACCCCUAUCAUUAGUUACUAACAGGUUAAGCUGAGGACUCUAAUGAGACUGCCACCGUAAGGUGUGAGGAAGGUGGGGAUGACGUCAAAUCAGCACGGCCCUUACGUCCGGGGCGACACACGUGUUACAAUGGGGGGUACAGAGGGUUGCUACUUGGUGACAAGAUGCUAAUCUCUUAAAGCCUCUCUCAGUUCGGAUCGGAGUCUGCAACUCGACUCCGUGAAGCUGGAUUCGCUAGUAAUCGCGCAUCAGCCAUGGCGCGGUGAAUACGUUCCCGGGCCUUGUACACACCGCCCGUCAAGCCAUGGAAGCUGGGGGGACCUGAAGUACGUAACCGCAAGGAGCGUCCUAGGGUAAAACUAGUAACUGGGGCUAAGUCGUAACAAGGUAACCGU